rnacentral:rRNA from 1 species
UGGGGAAUAUUGGACAAUGGGCGCAAGCCUGAUCCAGCCAUGCCGCGUGAGUGAUGAAGGCCCUAGGGUUGUAAAGCUCUUUCACCGGUGAAGAUAAUGACGGUAACCGGAGAAGAAGCCCCGGCUAACUUCGUGCCAGCAGCCGCGGUAAUACGAAGGGGGCUAGCGUUGUUCGGAUUUACUGGGCGUAAAGCGCACGUAGGCGGACUUUUAAGUCAGGGGUGAAAUCCCGGGGCUCAACCCCGGAACUGCCUUUGAUACUGGAAGUCUUGAGUAUGGUAGGGGUGGGUGGAAUUCCGAGUGUAGAGGUGAAAUUCGUAGAUAUUCGGAGGAACACCAGUGGCGAAGGCGGCUCACUGGACCAUUACUGACGCUGAGGUGCGAAAGCGGGGGGAGCAAACAGG